UACAGAGGUCCCAAGCGUUGUUCGGAUUCACUGGGCGUAAAGGGUGCGUAGGUGGUCAGAUAAGUUUGAUGUGAAAUCUCCGGGCUUAACCCGGAAAAUGCAUUGAAUACUAUUUGGCUGGAGGGUUGGAGGGGGGACUGGAAUACUUGGUGUAGCAGUGAAAUGCGUAGAUAUCGGAAGGAACGCCGGUGGCGAAAGCGGCGUGCUGGACCCCUUCUGACGCUGAGGCGCGAAAGCCAGGGGAGCGAACGGG
rnacentral:rRNA from 1 species